UUCGAUUGCCCAAUCCAAAUUCUUUGGGCUGUAUUUUCUGGAAUCAGUGUGGCACAGCGCGUGGGCGUAGUCAACGGUACAGUGCGUGCCGCACUGGGCGUGGCUUGUGAUUGUUUGUAUUUUUGGGACCCAAGGAGCAUGCUGGAUGAGUGAUAUAUCAUGGAUGCUAUUUCUUUAUUGACUGAAGUUGUCCGGCCUGGAGUCACGGAACCAGUGCUGCUGUUUUAGUUUGGUUGUUCAUGUCGCAAGAUUUCCACAAACUUUAAUACGGACACCUCUAUUUAUAUAAUGGACUGCUCCCUGCACUUUAGGGUCUAAGGAUCUAUGGAUUGGUACCAACAUGCUGCUACAAAAGGUUUUGCAUUACUGCUUUCUGAAAACACCCAAAAUGUAAUACUUGUAAUACUGGCA